AUUUUAUUCAAUUUUGAUCUUAUGAUGAUGUUGUCGAUGAAAAAAAAUCGAUUCCUGAUGGUAACGGAUAAGUUUUUCCCUUUUUGUUUUUUGCAGUUAUGCUUCUUGCAUAUCCGACUUGAUGCUUUGGAGAGAGACUGACAGAUUCAUAUAAUACUUUUGGAUUGUGUUUGUUGAUGAUUGAUUUUGAAAUUCUUGUAUUUUUUAUUGGAUGUGGUUUCUUAUUCUUUCAAGUGUUAAUUUCAGCAAUAAGAAUAUUUACCUCGUGGAGAAUGCAGAAGAAAGGAAAUCCAAUAUGAGUAUAUAUACCUCAUUCAAUACCGCCAAUUUUUCCUCAUAUGUUUAAACAAUAUGAUGACAUUUAUACUAGGUCGUGCUAAUGUCAGCAAUGAGUAUUUACCUCAUUGAUUUAUAUUUCAUGACUCUGGCAUUUGGGACAAGUUUUCUUCCCCUCAUUUUCAAGACACGAGGAAGUCGUUCUGCAUGUUUUGAGAAAUUAUCUUGUUCAUUUUGUGGCAUUGAAAUUAUCUUGUUCAUUUUGUGGUAUUGGAUUUGCAUUUUCUUCUCUUAGGCCUCCGAUUUUAAGAAGAAUAUAUAUUUAUAACUUAUUGCAUGAUUUGCUGCCGGCUUUGUUCAUUUUUGUUUGUAACAUAAUUUCCUUUUUUGAUGAUAAUUUGUCAGAGUUUGUGAUAUGGUUAUGGCUGCCGGGGGCACAUCAUCUUAUGGCAUUGAAAAACAGGUUUUUGGUUUAUCAUCUUUAUUUGACAUGAGUUAGGCUUUUUAUGGUUUGUGUCUGCAAAUCACAUUCUUGGUACUGGUCCAACCAGGUUUGGAACUGGUCCAAAGCUUCCACAAUUCUCGAUGAAUUUCAGCACCAAGUAAUCUAUGCUUCAAUAUAUUCUUGUGAAUAUCGCUUGUGGUUUUCUAAUAUGGAAUUCUCGAUAGAGUGCAUGAAAUACUAUGUUCCUGAUAGGUCCACAAGACUGUUGAAUUCGUCAUGGUUUUUCUUGUGAUUUGAGCAACAGAGCCCUAUUCUUAUGUUUAUUUUUUCCUUCAAAAUCCACUGCGUAGGAGCUGCAGAAGCAAGGGAACUCUAGUUUUUCUUAUCAUCAUGUCACAUUUGCUUGGGCUUUUUAACGUUUAAGAGCGGUUGCUUUAAUCACCUGGAUUGCACGAUCGCAGAAAAGCAAGGCGAGGGUUAUUUAUCUACUAUUUCACAUUUUGGUCUAUUCAUAUUCAUGCUUCAACAGUAAAUCUGUUUAGUAUACGAUCUAUCUCAUGGAGUUUGGAGUUCUGCUACAACUCCUUACUGCAGUUGGUUCCAGCAAAGUUUUUUUGGUCCUGAUCAAUAUGGUGCCCCUUCUACAGGAUUAAAACUAUGAAACACACUACAGUUGGCUGGCCUGCAAAUCUGCAACACUGAAUUUUGCUUUAUGGUUGACUGCCUUGCUUUAUCUACUCUAUUUCACAUUUCGGUCUAUUCAUAUUCACACUUCAACAGUAAAUCUGUUUAGUAUACGAUCUAUCCCAUGGAGUUUGGAGUUGUGCUACAACUCCUUACUGCAGUUGGUUCCACCAAAGUUUUUUGGUCCUGAUCAAUAUGGUGCCCCUUCUACAGGAUGAAAACUAUGAAACACUACAGUUGGUUGACUGCCUUGGAAACCACAGGAUUGAAACUAUGAUUCAAACUACGGUUGGCUGGCUUGCAAUUUGUAACACUGACUUUUGCUUUAUAGUUGACUGGCUUGGAAACCAUGAGGCCAAAUAAAUUCCUCCCAGUGCCUGCAGAAACCAGAAAACUGUUAUUUUCCCUUCUCUUCAUUCCACUUUUGCCGAGAAGUCUGUUCAUAUAUAGUUUUCUUUAACCGGAUCCUUUUCCUUAUUUGAUUUGUUUAGGGUUGGUGCUUUACAACUUUUUACUGUGUUGGGUUCGAGCAAAGUUUGUUCGUCUAGAUCAAUUCUGUUUCUUCAUCUAGAAAGUUUUUUCAAUUCUGUUUCUUCGUCUAGAAAGUUUUUUACUUUCUCCGCUGCGGGUUGCUUCUACUGGGGUACAAAUAAAUCUAUCCAUUACUUUCUUCGUGGCUGCAUGAUAAUCCUUGAAUUAAUUUAAAGUCUCUUGGUAUUUAAAAAAAGUGGCGAUUCUGUUGUGAAUUAUUAAUCAAUUCCAGAACCAGUUAAAGUCGGAUGCUUUAACAUGUUUUCUGUCUAAAUUCCAUUGAAGUGUAGGUUUGGAUUUCCUUUCGAAGUUACAUCUUUCAUGGAGUCCCCAUUCUUGAUCUUGGGUGAUAAUGUUUAACUGGUAAUUUCAGAGUUUUGUGACUUGGUUAUAGCUGCUGAGGGAAAAUCGUCUUAUGGCAUUCAUCCUUGGUUUAUAUAGAGGGAAAACCAGAAACCAGGUUUUUGGUUUAUUUGUCUUCGAUUGAUGAGUUAGGCUUAGUAAGAUUUGUGCCUGCAAAUCAUAACCUCAAAUAUUUGCUUAAAUCAGUCUUGGUUAGUGAAAUUGAAGGGAAAAUCGUCUUAUGGCAUUCAGAAACCAGGUUUUUGGUUUAUUCAUCUUUAUCUUGGUUAGGGAAGUCAAUGAGUUCUGAUUUCUUUCGUGUCCAAUCAAGUUUGGUACUGGUCCGAAGCUUUCACAGUUCGGACACAUUUCAGCACCACGUAACCUAUGGGUAUAUAUAUAUAUAUAUAUCCUUCUGAUUAUCGCUUGUGUUCUUCUGAUAUGGAAGUCUCGAUCAAGUGCACUCGAAAUACCAAGGAAUCUGAUGAGCAAGGUGUUUGAAACUAUGUUCCUGAUAGGUCCAUGAGAUGAAUUCGUCAUGGUUUGAGCAACAGAGUUUAGUCUUAUGUUUCUUUUUCCUUCAAAAUGUGUAGGAGCUGCAGAAGCAUGGGGAACUCUUAUUUGUUCCUAUCUUCAUAUCACAUUUGCUUGGGCAUUUUAACAUUUGAGAUCAGAGGGCCUUGUUUAUGGUCUGGAUUGCACGAUCCCAUAGAAGCAAGGCACCGGUUAUUUUUUCUGCUCUCACUUUUCGCAUAUAAGUCUACUCAUAUUUUCCCCCUCAACCACAAACCUGUUUAGUAUAUGAUCUAUCUCAGGGAAUUUGGAGUUGUGCUACAACCUCUACUGCAGUUGGUUCCAGCUAUGAUUUCUUGUCCUGAUCAAUAUGGUGCCUUCUACAGGAUUAAAACUACUCUGUUUGGUUGGCUGGCUUCCAACUUGUAAUGAUCUAUCUCAUGGAAUUUAGGUUCGACUCGCUUGGAAACCAUAAGCGCAAAUAAGUUCCUCUUAAGUCCCUGCAGAAACAAGAAUACUGUUAUUUUUCCUUCUCUUUAUUUCACUUUUGCUGAGAUGUCACAAUGAUGUUCCUUAUUUGAUUUAUUUACAGUUGGUGCUGCUUCACAACUUUUUCCCUUCGAGCAAUGUUUGUUUGGGUAGAUCAAUUUGGUUUUCUUGUACAGGAAUACAAAUAUAUAUAUCUGUCUUCUACUUUGUCCACGGCUUUUUCUUCUACAGGGGUAUUAAGAUAUCAUCUAUCCAUUACGUUCUCCACGGCUGGCAUGUUAAUCCUCAGUUUACUUAUAAGUCACGGUGUAUUUAUUUGAAAAGUCGCAUAUUGAUGUUGUGCAUUUUUAAUCAAUUUCCGAACUAGUUAGAGUUGGAUGCGUUAACGGGUUCUCUCUAAAUGCAGUGAAAGUGUAUGUUUGGAUUUACUCUUCCGCAUUUUCCAGUAAGAGUUAAGUUUUCAAAGUUAAAUCUUUCAUGGAAGCCCCGCAUGCUUGAUCUUGGGUAAUAAUGUUUGACUGUUACGUGUGAUUAUAAGCUCACUGUAUCUCGUGUUUUGAAAUCCUAAUAUUUUAAAGAGAUCCUAAAUAAAUAAAGGAGCAACUUUGUACUUGUAUAUUUGCCGGUCUUGAUGGUUUGACUCGUAAUUUAACACCUUCGGUUUUAAGAGGUUUAUAUGUUAAGGGCUUAACAAGGGGUCAUGCAAUUCCAUGAAAUGGGUUUGAACUAAGGCUUUGUGAUUUAUCUUUUUUGUUCUCUUCUGCUACUCAAUUUCCUACAGUCUAUCGAUUAGUUUUGCUUUUCAUGUGUCUAUCUACAGUGUGUAUUGUCAGGUUGCAUUUGCGUGGUUUAAAUAAAUAAUUCCAAGGGGGUCAGGAACUAAGCCUACGUAUUUUGUUCAUUAUGUUCUCUUCUGCUUCCCAAUUUCCCACAUGCUUUUCAUUUGCUUUUCUACAUUGUGUCUAUUGUCAGGCUGCAUUUGUGUGGUUUAAAUAAAUAAUUCCAAGGGAUCAGGCAAUGCCAUGAAAUGGGUUUGAGCUAAGAUUUUGUUCUUUAUGUUCUCUUCUGCUUCUCAAUUUCCCACAUGCUUUUCAUUUGUUUAUCUACAUUGUAUAUUGUCAGGCUGCAUCUGCGUGGCCUAAAUAAAUAAUUCCAGGGGGUCAGGAAAUGCCAGGAAAUGGGUUUUAGCUAAGGUGUUCUUUAUGUUCUCUUCCUGCUUCUCAAUUUCCCUCAAGCUUGUCAUUUGUUUAUCUACAUUAUAUAUUGUCAGGCUGCAUCUGCGUGGCCUAAAUAAAUAAUUCCAGGGGGUCAGGAAAUGCCAAGGAAUGGGUUUUAGCUAAGGUGUUCUUUAUGUUCUCUUCCUGCUUCUCAAUUUCCCUCAAGCUUUUCAUUUGUUUAUCUACAUUGUGUGUAUUGUCAGGUUGCAUCUGUGUGGCCUAAAUAAAUAAUCAUCUGUGUGGCCUAAAUAAAUAAUUUCAAGGGGUCAUGCAAUGCCAUGAAAUGGGCUUGAGCUAAGGCGUUCUUUAUCUAUUGUCAGGCUGCAUUUUCGUGGUUUAAAUAAAUAAUUCCAAGGGGUCAGGCAAUGCAAUGAAAUGGGUUUGAGCUAAGGCUACAUGAUUUUGUUCUUUAUGUUCUCUUCUGCUUCUCAAUUUCCCACAUGCUUUUCAUUUGCUUAUCUACAUUGUGUGUAUUGUCAGGCGCAUCUGCACGGCCUAAAUAAGAAUUUGAAGGGGUCAUCCAAUGCAAUGAAAUGAAAUGGGUUUGAGCUGUUUGAGCUAGGACUAUGUGAUUUUGUUCUUUACGUGUUCGCUUCUGCUUCUCAAUUUUCCACAUGCUUUACAAAUGCUUUACAAUUUUCCACAUGCAGUUCAUUGGCUUAUAUACGUUUAUUGUCAGGUUACAUCUGCAUGGCCUAAUAAAUAAUUUCAAGGGGUCAUGCAAUGACAUGAAAUGGGUUUGAGCUUGGGCUACGCUAUUUGUUUUUUAUGUUCUCUUAUUAUUCUCAAAUUUCCCACAUGCUUUUCAUUUUAUGUACAUUGUGUAGUGUCAGGCUGCAUCUGCAUUGCCUAGAUAAAUAAUUCCAAGGGGUCAGGCAAUUCCAUGAAAUGGGUUUGAGCCUAAGGCUACGUGAUUUUGUUCUUUAUUUGCUCUUCUGCUUAAUUUCCCACAUUAUUUUCAUUUGUUUAUCUACAUUGUGUGUAUUUGUCAGGCUGCAUCUGCGUGGCCUAAAUAAAUAAUUCCAAGGGGUCAGGCAAUGCCAUGAAAUGGGUUUGAGCUAAGGCUACAUGAUUUUGUUCUUUAUGUUCUCUUCUGCUUCUCAAUUUCCCACAUGGUUUUCAUUUGCCUAUCUACUUUGUGUGUAUUGUCAGGCUGCAUCUGCAUGGCAUAAAUAAAUAUUUCCAAGUGGUCAUGCAAUGCCAUGAAAUGGGUUUGUGCUGAGACUACGUGAUUUUAUUUUGUCUUCUCUUCUGCUUCUCAAUUUCCCACAUGCUUUUCAUUUGGUUAUCGUAUAUUGUCAGGCUGCAUUUUCUUGGUUUAAAUAAAUAAUUCCAAGGGGCCAGGCAAUGCAAUGAAAUGGGUUUGAGCUAAGACUACUUGAUGUUGUUUUUUUUUUGUACUCUUCCGAUUCUCAAUUUUCCACACGCUUUUCAUGUGUUUAUCUACAUUGUGUGUAUUGUCAGGCUGCAUCUGGGUGGCCUAAAUGAAUAAUUUCAAGGGAUCAUGCAAUGCCAUGAAAUGGGUUUGAGCUAAGGCGUUCUUUAUGUUCUCUUCUGCUUCUCAAUUUCCCACAUGGUUUUCAUUUGCCUAUCUACUUUGUGUGUAUUGCCAGGCUGCAUUUUGCGUGGUUUGAAUAAAUAAUUCAAAGGCAAUGCCAUGAACUGGGUUGGGGUUAAGGCUAUGUGAUUUUGUUUAUGUUCUCUUCUGCUUCUCGAUUUCCCCCUUGCUUUUCAUUUGUUUAUCUACAUUGUGUGUAUUGUCAGGCUGCAUCUGCGGGGCCUGAAUAAAUAACUCCAAGGGGUCAUGCAAUGCCAUGAAAUGGGUUUGAACUAAGGCUUUGUGAUUUAUCUUUUUUGUUCUCUUCUGCUACUCAAUUUCCUACAGUCUAUCGAUUAGUUUUGCUUUUCAUGUGUCUAUCUACAGUGUGUAUUGUCAGGUUGCAUUUGCGUGGUUUAAAUAAAUAAUUCCAAGGGGGUCAGGAACUAAGCCUACGUAUUUUGUUCAUUAUGUUCUCUUCUGCUUCCCAAUUUCCCACAUGCUUUUCAUUUGCUUAUCUACAUUGUGUCUAUUGUCAGGCUGCAUUUGUGUGGUUUAAAUAAAUAAUUCCAAGGGAUCAGGCAAUGCCAUGAAAUGGGUUUGAGCUAAGAUUUUGUUCUUUAUGUUCUCUUCUGCUUCUCAAUUUCCCACAUGCUUUUCAUUUGUUUAUCUACAUUGUAUAUUGUCAGGCUGCAUCUGCGUGGCCUAAAUAAAUAAUUCCAGGGGGUCAGGAAAUGCCAGGAAAUGGGUUUGAGCUAAGGCUUCGUGAUUUUGUUCUUUAUGUUCUCUUCUGCUUCUCAAUUUCCCACAUGCUUGUCAUUUGCUUAUCGAUGUUGUGUGUAUUGCCAGGCUGCAUUUGCGUAGAUUAAAUAAAUAAUUCUGGGGGGUCAGGCAGUGCCAUGAAAUGGGCUUGAGCUAAGACUACUUGAUUUUGUUUUUUUGUUUUCUCCUCUGCUUCUCAAUUUUUCACACUUUUUUCUUGUGUUUAUCUACGUUAUGUGUAUUGUCAGGCUGCAUCUGGGUUGGCCUAAAUGAAUAAUUUCAAGGGAUCAUGCAAUGCCAUGAAAUGGGUUUGAGCUAAGGCGUUCUUUAUAUUCUCUUCUGCUUCUCAAUUUCCCACAUGGUUUUCAUUUGCCUAUCUACUGUGUGUGUAUUGCCAGGCUGCAUUUUGGGUGGUUUGAAUAAAUAAUUCAGGCAAUGCCAUGAAAUGGGUUUGAGCUAAGGCUUUGUGAUUUUGUUUAUGUUCUCUUCUGCUUCCCAAUUUUUCCGCUUUCUUUUCAUUUGUUUAUCUACAUUGUGUGUAUUGUCAGGCUGCAUCUGCGUGGCCUGAAUAAAUCAUUCCAAGUCAUGCAAUGCCAUGAAAUGGGUUUGAGCUAAGGCUACGUGAUUUUGUUCUUUAUGUUCUCUUCUGCUUCUCAAUUUUCCACAUGCUUUUCAUUUGCUUAUCUAUGUUGUGUACUGUGUAUUGCCUGGCUGCAUUUGCGUAGAUUAAAUAAACACUUCUGGGGGUUCAGGCAAUGCCAUAAAAUGGGUUUGAGCUAAGACUACUUGAUUUUGUUUAUUUUUUAUUUUUUGUUCUCUUCUGCUUUUCAAUUUUCCACAUGCUUUUCAUGUGUUUAUCUACAUUGUGUGUAUUGUCAGGCUGCAUCUGGGUUGGCCUAAAUGAAUAAUUUCAAGGGAUCAUGCAAUGCCAUGAAAUGGGUUUGAGCUAAGGCGUUCUUUAUAUUCUCUUCUGCUUCUCAAUUUCCCACAUGGUUUUCAUUUGCCUAUCUACUUUGUGUGUAUUGCCAGGCUGCAUUUUGCGUGGUUUGAAUAAAUUAUUCAAAGGGGUCAGGCAAUGCCAUGAAAUGGGUUUGAGCUAAGAGGCUUUGUGAUUUUGUUUAUGUUCUCUUCUGCUUCUCAAUUUCCCCCUUGCUUUUCAUUUAUUUAUCUACAUUGUGUGUAUAGGCUGCAUCUGCGUGGCCUGAAUAAAUAAUUCCGGGGGGUCCUGCAAUGCCAUGAAAUGGGUUUGAGCUAAGGCUACGUGAUUUUGUUCUUUAUGUUCUCCUCCUCUUCUCAUUUGCUUAUCUAUGUUGUGUGUACUGUGUAUUUCCAGGCUGCAUUUGCGUAGAUUAAAUAAAUAAUUCUGGGGGGUCAGGCAAUGCCAUGAAAUGGGUUUGAGCUAAGAUUACUUGAUUUUGUUUUUUUUUUUUCUCCUCUGCUUCUCAAUUUUCCACACGCUUUUCAUGUGUUUAUCUAUGUUGUGUGUAUUAUCAGGCUGCAUCUGGGCUGGCCUAAAUGAAUAAUUUCAAGGGAUCAAUGCCAUGAAAUGGGUUUGAGCUAAGGCGAUCUUAUGUUCUCUUCUGCUUCUCAAUUUCCCACAUGGUUUUCAUUUGCCUAUCUACUUUGUGUGUAUUGCCAGGCUGCAUUUUGCGUGGUUUGAAUAAAUAAUUCAAAGGGGUCUGGCAAUGCCAUGAAAUGGGUCAGGCUGCAUUUCAGUAGCUUUGCCUUCGCUACAAUUUCCUGCAAAACUUGACUGCCCAGCCCAGCCACCCACUUCAUUAUCCUAAUAUUUGUGGUUUUACAGUUAAUUAUGAAAUCCUUAUGGAUAAUGUUUGAAAUCAUCUUGUCUGUAGAAGGGCUUGUUUUGAUAUUUGGUUUUUCAUUUUGUGGCAUUGUGUUUCCAUUUUCUUUUCUUAGGCAUCUGUUUUUAAGAGUUAUAUAAAUUGAUAACUUAUUGCAUGAUUUGCUGAGGGUUUUGGUCUUUUUUGUUUGUAUCCUAAUACCCUUUUUGGAUGGUAAUUUGUCAGAGUUUGUGACUUGGUUAUAGCUGCUGAGGGAAAGUCGUCUUAUGGCAUUGAAAAAUUAUGUUUUGGUUUAUUCAUCUUGGAUUGACAAGAGUUAGGCUUUCUAAGAUUGUGCGUGCAAAUCAUAACCUCAGGUAUUUGCUUACAUCGUUGCGUUCUGAUCUUGUACGUGUCCAAUCAAGGUUGCUACCGGUCUUAAGCUUUCACAAUUCUGGACACAUUUCAGCAUGAAGUAACCUAUGCUUCUAUAUAUCCAUAUGAUUAUCUCCUGUGGUUUUCUGAUAUGGAAUUCUCUAUCAAGUUCAUGAAAUACUAGAGGUAUAUGGCGAGCAAGGUGUUUGAAACUAUGUUCCUAUAGGUCUACAAGAUGGUUGAAUUCGUCGUGUUUCCAUGUGAUUUGAGCAACAGAGUUUAUUUCUAUGUUUCAUUUGCUGAAGCAAGUGAACUCUUAUUUAUUCUCUCUCCAUAUUGAGAUUUGCUUGGGCUUUUUAAUGUUUGAGUAAGAGGGGUUUGCUUUAAUUAUCAUAUUUUCGCACACGAGUCUUGUCAUAUUUUCCCCUCAAACGCAAGCCCUGUUUAGUAUACAAUCUAUCUAAUGGAGUUUGGAGUUGUUCUACAAGUUUGUACUGCCGUUGGUUCCAGCAAAGUUUUAUCGUCCUGAUGAAUAUGGUGUCGUCUGCGAGAUUAUACUCUACGGUUAGCUGGUUUCCAACUUAUUGAUUUGGCUUUAUUCCACUGGAGCACAAAGAUGAAUCACAGCCCUUCCCUUUUAAGUUGGCUAGCAUGGUAACAAUGAGUUUAACCAUCCUUUACUUUUAGGUUGGCUAGCAUGGUAACGGCUACUUUAAAAAUUUAAAUUCAAUUAUUUAGUAUGUGAUUCCAGAAGCACAUUCACUAAGAAGAACAUUUAUCCUGUUUCAUGUUUCUACCGGAAUCCACUUGCACAUUCAUUACUCUUAGCAUCAUAUUGCAAGAACAAACCCAUCUAUUCUUAAUCUUUAACAAUGUUUCACAAUUUGUCCUGUUUGAAACUUCCCCCGCUCCAACCUAUGUUCAUUAUAACUCGCACCGUCCCAACUUCAUGUCAAACCCGUUGUCUCCUUUUAUUUCAUCGUGAUUGGAUUCCACUUGUCUUAUUAUUAUAAAAAAUACCUUAUAUUUAUUUUAUCCAUUUAUAUAUAAUUAGCACUCGAGCUAAAUUAUUUUGGAUAUCUGAAUCAAAUAUUUUUUAUAGUUCUAAUAUUUAACACUCUUUUUUCGUUUUGAGUGGUUUUAUUAUGUUAAUAUUUAAGGGUUUGCCAUCAAUUUUACUACAUCCCCUCACACAAUGUGGCAAUCCAUAUGGGAUAUGUUAAUGGUCUCAGCAAUGUCUGCCAUACAAAACUAAUUCUCUCUUCUACUCCAGUGUCCCUAUCUAAUCUUGCUGUCAUGGCCCAUCUCAUCUAUUGUUGCCUUUCCAGCAACUCUUGACUACACCACCCACUUGCUGUCUCCUCCAAUAAACGGUUGUUCAUGAUAAGUUGUGUCAUUCCGCAUUACAACCUCAUUGUAUGUUGGAUCUUUAAUUAAGUUUUGGUUUAUUUUUGUUUGGCUGUUAUCUAAUACAUUUGCAUGCUUUUAAGUCUGGUUGCACUUCAUGUUUUUACCAGAAUCCACUUGCACAUUUUCCAUACUUGUUACUCGUUAGACCUUAAGAUGAUAAGUUGUAUCAUUCUGCAUUACAGCCUCAUUGGACGAUGGGAUUUUUCGGUGUUUGGUAGUUAUCUAAGAGAUUUGGAUAUGCUUAAGUGUGAUUGUGCUCUGAAUGGGAGGAAAGUAUAGUUUCCUUCAUGCAUUCUGUAUAGGAGUUUGGAUUUUGAAGUCAGAAUGGAUUUGAAUUGUUGGGGGAUAUAAUGGUUUGAUGAUUUGGUGGCUAUGAUAGUUAAUGCUCUCAUUAGACUACAGAAAAACUUAUUGAGGAUAGUUAAUGCUCUUAUACUGGGUUGCAAAUAUGGAGCACUGCCCUUAUUUUUCCUUUAUUUUACGGUCGACAGUUUACUGUGUUUCAGAGUCUUUUACUUUAUGGUUGGUGUUAUGAAUUUAUGAUGGUGUAGAUGGUGCUAUGAAGAUUUAUUGGUUCCUUUGGGAUUUUUGGGAGGAAGUGACGUCAUAUAUAUAGAGAAGCUAAUAUGGUGGCAUAUUUUUUGGCUAAGCAGAGAGCUCAAGGUUUGAUGUCAGAUUUUUGUGAUGCGUCUUCCAUUCAAGGGCGCAUUCAAGGAUAAUUCGAUUAGAUAACCUUGGAAUGCCCUAUAUUAGAAAGUGAUUGCGAGGGUUUAUUGUUUUUACUUGUGAUUUUGGCUCCUGAGUAUUACUAUUUGUUAGGGAAAAAAAAAGAAAGAUGAAGCUAUGAAGAUUUAUUGUAAGGGAAGAAUAUAUUGAACUCUUAUUAGGCAUUUAUUGUCGAGAUCAAUUUGGUUAUCUUUUACUUUAUGGUUGCACUUCAGGUUUAGAGUCUGCAUUUACCACUGUCUUCCUUUUUGGUUGUAUGGCUCUAUGAACUGAAUGCUGAGAUGACUAUGGGAAGAGCUUAUUAUCGUUGUGAUUUAUUGCAUGGCUUGGAAAUUCAAAAUUCAUUGUGUUUGUAGAGCUGUUCAUGCAUGUUCGCAGCUCAUUAGACCUUUUUAACAUGAUUAGUUGCCGCAAUCUACAUUUCGACCUUUUAGCAGGUUAUUCAACAUUGUGAUUUGUUGUUUUUUGGCAGUUGACUGUUAAGAUAGAGUUGCAGUACUUUAGAGGCUGCUCUCUCUCGAUUGUUGGGGAAGUAUUCUGUGUAUGGAGUUGUAUUGUUGGAUUGCAUGGGGACAUAUCUCAAGGAUCAUCUUUUUACUUGUAUAAUUUCUUUCCUUUUCUUUUCUUUUUUAAUGGUUCGGCUUGUUACGAGAGGCUUAUUUAUUUUGGAGUUUUCUGGUUCUUAUUUUUACCCAGGCUGGAUUCUUAUUUUUAUUGUUUGAAGUUCGUUUAACUACAAAUACAUCGGUUCGAGUCUUGCAAGUUUAUGAACUUUUGCGAGGAAAUAUACAAGCACCGUUGUGGGUCCCUUGUCCGAGUUUUUCUCAGGGAUCCUGUGAAAGAUGAACAAGAGUUCUAUAAAUAUAAAAGUAAUGGUAGAUAUAGUGCUUGAAACGUUGUUUUUUUUUCGUUCAUGUGGGUCUCAAACGUGCAUAAGCUCAUGCAGCUUGGUGGUCUCAAUUGGAUAGUGGCAGUACUCGACGCACUAGUCUAGUGGGUCAACCUACAUGAGCCCUACGUUAAUGGUUGCCUUCGGGUUUUUGGUCUGGUCCAUCGCACACCAUGAAACCAUUACCAUUUUGUUCUUACCUUCCAUAAUAUGAAUAUUCUCAGAACCUUCUCGGAACACUUCAUUAUCCUUCUUUCAUAACUAAUAUUACACUAAAUGCUUAGAAGGGAAGAAAAGGACACAGUUUAUAUUUGCAAACAACUACCAGCACUAA